GUGAACGCUGGCGGUAGGCCUAACACAUGCAAGUCGAACGGCAGCACAGUAAGAGCUUGCUCUUACGGGUGGCGAGUGGCGGACGGGUGAGGAAUACAUCGGAAUCUACUUUUUCGUGGGGGAUAACGUAGGGAAACUUACGCUAAUACCGCAUACGACCUACGGGUGAAAGCAGGGGAUCUUCGGACCUUGCGCGAUUGAAUGAGCCGAUGUCGGAUUAGCUAGUUGGCGGGGUAAAGGCCCACCAAGGCGACGAUCCGUAGCUGGUCUGAGAGGAUGAUCAGCCACACUGGAACUGAGACACGGUCCAGACUCCUACGGGAGGCAGCAGUGGGGAAUAUUGGACAAUGGGCGCAAGCCUGAUCCAGCCAUACCGCGUGGGUGAAGAAGGCCUUUGGGUUGUAAAGCCCUUUUGUUGGGAAAGAAAAGCAGCAGGUUAAUACCCCGCUGUUCUGACGGUACCCAAAGAAUAAGCACCGGCUAACUUCGUG
rnacentral:rRNA from 1 species